rnacentral:rRNA from 1 species
CCUACGAGGGGCAGCAGUGGGGAAUAUUGCACAAUGGGGGAAACCCUGAUGCAGCGACGCCGCGUGAGUGAAGAAGUAUCUCGGUACGUAAAGCUCUAUCAGCAGGGAAGAAAAUGACGGUACCUGACUAAGAAGCCCCGUCUAACUACGUUCCAGCAGCCGCGGUAAUACGUAGGGGGCAAGCGUUAUCCGGAUUUACUGGGUGUAAAGGGAGCGGAGACGUCAGCGCCAGUCUGGAGUGAAAUGCCGGGGCUUAACCCCGGAACUGCUUUGGAAACUGUGCGGCUGGAGUGCAGGCGGGGUGAGCGGAAUUCCUAGUGUAGCGGUGAAAUGCGUAGAUAUUAGGAGGAACACCGGUGGCGAAGGCGGCUUACUGGACUGUAACUGACGUUGAGGCUCGAAAGCGUGGGGAGCAAACAGGAUUAGAUACCCCUGUAGUC